UCCUGGGUGGCUCAGUUAGUUGAGCACCUGACUUCAGCUCAGGUUAUGAUCUCACAUUUGUGGAUUCGAGCCCCACAUCAGGCU
rnacentral:tRNA from 1 species